AACCGACUACCCUUGUAUGUUUAUUGUUGUUGUUUGUUUUUUAGUUUUGCAUUUUUGUUUUUUGUUAAUGUAAUAUUUGGUUUUCAGUUUUUGGUUAUGUUGACACGACAAGUUUCGAAGAUAACAAACGUGCGACAGGCAACAACACGAAAGCGAACGGACAGACAACAAGAAUAGCAAACGAACAAAAUAGCAAUAACCGGUGAAGCAGUCAAAGUAGUCAGUUGGCUGAAACGUCAAGCAGCCGGACAGCUAGUCAACAGGGUAACACACAAAAGAUAGACAAUAACAACAAAGAUAACAAUGUAAGAAUGUCUGUAAUGCGCAACUAACAACCUUUAAGUGGCACGCAAUGUGACUGUUGCAUGUUGUUGUCCGUCCGUCCGUCCGUCCGUCCAAAAGCCAAUACAAGCAACAACAACUCAACAACGUGGCGAUAAACAUUCGCAGCGACGACGAAGGUACGGAACGGGUAUUUUAAAUUGAGAUGGCACAGAACAAGGGCAGUCCGGUCGGCCAACCACCGAUACAAGGCACUUAGCAGCGAGCGUGAGUAGCUGUUGGCCUGCAGGACCGACUAUGCGAGAAGCCAACAGAAAGGCGAGUGUGCCGCGCGGGAAGAAAAAAUAAAAACAACGCAUCGGUGAGGGGUGAGACAGUGAAUGUGUCGCCGCACUUACAAACAGGUGAAGCUAAAGGGCUAACUGCGAAGGAAAUGGGGCAGGACGACAACGAGCGUAACACGACUGGGUUGACUUGGCUUGGCAGUGAGUAAGUGAUACUUUGGAACAAGCAAUUGCCUGAAUUAUAUGUCGAGGCAGGCGGACGACCGGCCGGACAGACAGGCCGAACAAACAAACAAUAAGCGGUGGUCUUGACUUGUCUUCCGUUUUGGUAAAUACAUAUGUUGCAUUGCAUUGCAGGCAGGCAGGCAACAGUUGUCGGUGGAGUUUAUCAAAUGACCGGAAAAAAGGUUUUACUUCAAUGUACGCGUACGUAUUUAUGCAUUUUUUCUGUUGUGUGUGGUGUGGUGUGUCUUUUUCACCACUGCCGUUGCAGCUAUAACGUCUUUCUUUGGAAAUUAAUAGUAGAGCAUUGUCAUUUACAUAUGCUGCGGAGAGUCAGUAAGAGUUUCUGAGAAGGUUAAAAAUUUUCGCUUUUGCGGGACAAGAGAUAUAAUUAUACGAUCUCUCAGUCAAGUUUGAGAAGCAAAAACGGAUCUAAUUAAUCAGAAGAGCGAUCGAAAAUUAUGGAGACGGCAUUGCAUAAUAGAAUCCAAAAUCAAAAUUACAGAGUUAAGAUUGCGAAACUGCGUCAUAAAAGAAACAAAAUCUCAAAGAAAAUGUAAUUGUAAACAAGUCUUUCUUGAAGAGACAGUACAUUCUGUCCUUUUCACCUUUUUAUUUUGAGAUGGGCAACCUAAAAGCUGUAUGGAAGAAGGUGAGGUGGAAUCGAUGGACUUUCGGCAGGCUGAGGUCGAAGCAUCACAGUAGGCAUACCUUCGGCGAACCCACCGUUUCGACUGGCAUUGAUAUUAGCCGAGAAAUUGUGUAAGACCCUAAACAUUUUGUCGAAGUGAGAGUCAUUUUGAUCCGUAGGAUAUAGACCCCUAAAAACGUUGUUGAUAAGUGAAGAUCGUCGUGAUCUAUACAAAUGAGUUUUUUCAUUGAUAACACAAAGGAUCAGCAAUUUCAGCAGUCCAAGUGGUACCCGGUGCGACUUCAAACGCAAUGAUCUGCAUCCCAAACUAACCUAACCAAACUCUUUCCACUAUUCUUUCGCGAAAACUUCCCGUCCACAAAACAACAUUCGGGCUAGUAUGGAUAUGGAUUUAAAUAGGACCUGCUACGUUUUUGUCGAAUGAAAUGUGAAAAGCCAAAUUAAGUGAAAUUCUCAAAGAACCACCAUUGGAGAAUAAAGAAGCGGAGACCAUGACAUUAUACGAAGUUAUUUGGAGUACUUGUCACUUCACAGUUAAGCACAAAUACACGGAACGAACCCGAGAUCUUAAUCCGGUUAAAGACUGUCAACGCAACAAACAACAGAAUUGAUGAAAACUCUGCGGAACCAGCUGAUGAAAACUGUAGAAAAUUUUUCUAGAUUGAGAAAAAGUAAGCAGAAAGGAACUUGUCUUCACAUUCACUUCUUAACUGGUGUAGACAGCUCUUACGCGGUUUUAGUCGAAUUUACUCCCCCUUUCCGCUGUUUGGCGCCAUUUGGUGAUACCAAGUGCAGCCAGGUCCUUCUACAUCUGGGUCUUUCCAGCGGAGUGGAUCUGGGCUUCCACCAGCGGGUACUGCAUCGAACACUUUCAAAGCUGAAGCGCUUUCAUAUGAACAACAUGACCUAGCCAGCGCAGCCGCUGACUUUUUAUUUGCUGAACUAUGUCAAUGGCCAAUAACUCAUAGAGCUCAUCGUUCAAUCGUCUACGGUAUUCAUCGUUGCCAAUGUAAAUAGGACCAUAAAUCUGCCGCAAAACCAUUCUCCGAAAAGCUCCUAGUGCCGUCUCCUGGGAUAUUAACAUCGUCCACGCUUCUGUACCAUAAAGCAGGGCGUAACUGAUGAGGGACUUGUAUAGUUUGGUUUAUGUUUGUCGAGAGAAGACUUUACUUUUCAAUGGCCUAUUUAGUCCAAAGACGGUUUAAGAGACUAUCGAGAAGAUGAGUGUUCAUGUUUUUUAUCUGUGAAAUACCAAAUUUCUUUUUUCGCAACAAAUAUGGUUAAAAUUUCGUUUUGAAACUGAAGGGAUGUGUUAAUUAACAAUGCAACCCUGUAUAUAUGGAUCUACAUACAUAUAUGCCUACGCGCAUGUACAAUACAAGAACAAAUAAAACAACAACAACAACAGCGAUGAAAGACUUAACAAAGACGCUGGCUGGCUAAUUAAAUGGCUGCAAUGUGUGCUCGAUAUGAAAUUUGCAAUCCUUUUAAUUAAAGCAGACAAAUUCCACUGAAAAUGCGCGACGCCGUUAUCGACGAAGCGUAACAAACAAAAGAGCAGAAAUCACAAAGGACCAAGGAGAAUGAAAUAAGGGUCGAGAGCGUGUAUGUGUGUGUGGUGUAGCGCCAAAGAGCGAAGAAGCGAGCGCAGGAAGCGAGUGGGGCGAAAGGGCAGUGGGGCAAUGCAAAAAAGCACAUAUUUAUGAGCGCGUGUAUGCGUAAGUUUAAUUCUCUGUCUGACUGUGCCUGCGUCUGAGUGUGUGUGUGUGUGUGCCAAUAAGUGGCGCUGUGCGUUUCGAUAACAACAAAAGCAACAACAGUGAGUAAGCAACGAAAACAAACACAUGUUGUUUCGGUUAAGUCCAGACAUAGUGGCACCAUUAUUCAUCGUCGUCUUCAACAGUUUCUUCGCUUUUUAUUUUCCAUUUUUUCGCAACUUGGUUCAUACAAACAAUAACAACAACACGAAGCAAGUGCGACAGUGACGAUGACG